GAUCUCCAGGGCUUCCCCACUCCAAAGGCCGAGCGCUUCUUCCUUCACCGUGGAGGGGAUGCUUGGAGGUAUCAGAUACAACUGGAAGCAAGAGCUUUCACAAAAUGGCAUGCUCCAUAGUCCUUCUCUUUGGAUCUGUUAGGACCUGAGUGUUGUGAUGUGUCUGGAAGUGCUGGGACCAGCGCGUGGGUCUCAAGAACAAUCAGAAUGCCUGCCCCUGGAGGUGGCCACCUCAAAGAAGCUGAGUAUACAACCACUGUGAAGGGAGAAGACAGGAUCUCAAGUAAUGGCUCACCCUCCUGCCUCCACUUCCCAUGUUCUGGGACUGCAGGCGUAUGCCGCUGCGUGCCACCACGUACAUCACGCCUGGCUGAGUUCUGCUUUCUUCUCUGAGCUGAGGAUGUGAGAAGCCUACAAAGGAAAUGCAAUUUAAAAGAUUUUCCUUUCCUCCCCGCUGACCUGGAGCACUGGCUCCUUCCUCAGGGUGGCUCCUGCGUAGU